UACGUAGGGACCAAGCGUUGUUCGGAUUUACUGGGCGUAAAGGGCGCGUAGGCGGCCCUCCUUGUCGCGUGUGAAAGCCCCGGGCUCAACCUGGGAAUUGCGCGCGAAACGGGGGGGCUUGAGUUCGGGAGAGGAGCGUGGAAUUCCCAGUGUAGAGGUGAAAUUCGUAGAUAUUGGGAAGAACACCGGUGGCGAAGGCGGCGCUCUGGACCGAGACUGACGCUGAGGCGCGAAAGCGUGGGGAGCAAACAGG
rnacentral:rRNA from 1 species